UUUCUUCUUCCAUCAGUUAUUCUUCACUACUCGUCAUUGCCCGGGGUACAAGCUUCAGAGUGAUGGGUUUCACCGGCUGGAGGAAUCCACUGAUGCUGAGUUCAGCAGGGUACUGCAAAAUAUCAGGAACAGGUUUGUCUAUGGUCACUGAAAAUUAGAACAUGUGCAGAACAUUCACAACAAACUGAAUAAAGAAUUGGCAAGCAAAUCAGAAGAAGCUUGUACAUUACUAACUCGGCAAAUGAGCCCAUCUGAGGAUUACAGGCACCUUAUUAUACACCCUUGAGGAUUUCCUUACAUUAAAAAUCAGAUUUUCAGAUUAUUCCGUUCUGCAAGACAAGACUUUG